rnacentral:sRNA from 2 species
GCCCGAAACGCGAGAAGAAAAAAUAUAUUAAAAAAAAGCGCGCUCCGAAGCUAUGCCGGAGGCUUUGUACUCUGGAAAUAGGUCGAGGCCCGUGGGGCCCUAGGGGUUGGUUCAGGGGAAGAACAGAGCUGUAAAGUUAGUCAGUUACUAUCUAUAUAGAUAAGGCUCCGCAGGCAAUCCAUCAAUGAAAAGUGUUUUAGUAAAAUCAAAAGACGUGGGAAAAAAAAAAAACCAAGCCAGCUCACACUAAAAAUACAAUAAAUAGAACGGGCUGAAAAAAAAAAAAAAAUUGUGAGAGAAAGGACGAGAAUAGGUGAAGUGAGGGGCAGUUAGUUGAUUCAUAUGAAUUGAAUUUAUAAAUAAAAUUACAAACAAAAACUCCGCGGAUAAGCUUAGAAACCUUGCUGGAGAGAAUAAAGGAGGUGAUGGUUCAAUUGAGCGAAAGUUGGAUUUGAAUAAAAAUAACAUAGGAUUAGGCGAUGGAUAGAUAGGAGGCUCAAGCAGGGAAUUGCUGUUUCAUGGCUGGCGCCAAUCGAUAACAUCGAGAGAAUGCGGGGGUGGCUGAAAUAGCUUGAAUCAACUGCCGAGAAGGCCCAGAUUAUUUUCCCAUUUACCGUGCUAAAGAUCAAAAAGAAAGGAAAAAAGGGGAAAAAGAGAUCAAGAGAAUAAUCCUGAAUAUACAAUCUAUGGAUUUAAAUAAUUAUACAGAGAAUAUAUAAUGUAUAUACGAAUAAUAACAGAAGUAGCCAAUGUAUAUAUAAUUUUUGGUUAAAACAUGGUGCAAGGCCGGUAGACUUCAAUAUUCAAAUGUAUAGAGAGGAAAAAGCAGGGGAAAAGCCAAAAUGAACCCCAAAAUUUGUUCAAAUCACAAGUCAAAAACCAAAAUAAAUGGUAGCAAAUCAGUUGCUUCUAGCAAGAGCUAUCAGCAAAAGAACGGAAAAAAGAAACUGAAAAAUGAAAAAUGACGGAAAGGAAGAAUUUCAAAACAGCAAUAUG